rnacentral:rRNA from 1 species
UACGGGGGGGGCAAGCGUUGUUCGGAAUUACUGGGCGUAAAGGGCUCGUAGGUGGCCAACUAAGUCAGACGUGAAAUCCCUCGGCUUAACCGGGGAACUGCGUCUGAUACUGGCGAGCUUGAGUGCAGGAGAGGAACGCGGAAUUCCAGGUGUAGCGGUGAAAUGCGUAGAUAUCUGGAGGAACACCGGUGGCGAAGGCGGCGUUCUGGACUGCAACUGACACUGAGAGACGAAAGCCAGGGGAGCAAACGGG